AAAACAUGUAUAUACGUUGAGUUAUGGAGUUAGGGGCAUAGGAGCAUAGUGCCCUCCUCUUCCGUCCUGCGCGACGCUUUACCUAAUCGGCUUGGACCGGCUCUAUUUGGCGACACGCUUUCUGGACACAAACUGACAUUCCGCGAUCCCUCCUCUAGCCCCACCCGGAGGUCGCACCCUGGGUGGCUAGGAAUUCCUCUUGCGUGCCCGCGGUCAGCGAUAUGUAUACCAUCGUUUACCAGGGGCUUCACGCUUCUGGUCUUCCGGUUCAUAUGAUCGAGUGCAAUUUGACUGCAGAAAAUAUUCUUGAUUGGCCCAUGAUAAGGACCAAAUCAAGUAUUUUUGUCUUACGAUCACAGGAAGCUGUCGCACACCAAGGUCGGACCACAAAUAACAAAGAAAUAAAAAUAUGCAUGCAUUAUGAAAUUUGCCAAAAA